GGGCCCGCCCCUCACACCCGAGGCCGUGGAGCGGCUUCGUAGUGCGGGCGGGGGCCGGACACCGGCCCCCUCCCAUGCCUCGGGCCGCCCGGAGCUUGUGCUGGAAACACAGCGUGCGUUCAUCUAGCACGUGAGGCCCACCAAGCGCCUGGUUAAGACCACCAGAGAAGCUUCUGCCUUCAAGGAGCAGCUAGUUUGAGGUCCUGCCCUCAAGAAGCACCCACUUGGGUGGCCUUCCCCCUCUCAUACCCUUCUUCUACCUCGUCUGAUGCCUGCUUUCCACAGGCCAUAUACCAGGGCCUCACGAACUGCACCCCCAGAAGUUGGCAGGUUCCUUAGGCCGGGAUCUCACAUGGGGUAUAUACCGCAGUUCUAGCAAUGAGGUGGUAUUUUUGACAUUUUGGAAGAUUGCAGUCCUCUAGAUCCUGCAUCCACUCCCUGGUCAUGGAUAAGAAAAUGGUAAAGCUAUUAGUCGCCACCCAAGUGCAAGUGGAUUCUCCAGGGUCAUCCAGGAGCCCUUCCCCACACCAUUCAUUCCAUUCACGAGGGUACCAUUUUGAAGGGAGAGCUAAGAAAAGUCUACCGAAGCCCCAUGCUGUCCCAUACUGUCCCCUCGAGUCACACAUGGCUUAGGGGCAUUGAAAAUGUGACUAGUCCAAAUUGAGGUGUGCUGUAAGUGUGAAAACCCACCGGAUUUUGAAGAUUUAUGCAAGAUAAAGAAUGUGAACUAUCAUAUUAAUAGUUUUCUAUUAAGUACAUGUUGAAGUGAUAAGAUUUUUGAUACAUUGGCCUAAAUAUACUUUUGUAACUACUAGAAAGGUUAGAGUUAUACAUGUGACUUGAAUUUGCGGCCCACGUUUUUUCUAUUGAACAGCACUGGGGGAGGCAGUAAGAUUUGCAGGUGGGGGAGGAAGAUACCUAUCCCUAAGUAUCCUGUGCCCCAAACCCUAAUAGUAAACAUUUUAGGGGUUUAUUUUGUUUUUACAUCUUAAGAUCCAUUUUCAGGAGCAAGAAUGAAUGAAAAAUCAACUCUGGAAAUUAUUCAACAUGUAGCAUAAGGAGAGACCUAGGAGAGGAAGGACAUUGCAUUAUGUCACUGCAGAAGCAUCAUGUAACAAGAAGAUGAAACUGAAGCAUAUGGUCACACCGUUCCUAAAUGACAGAACAGGGGAUCUUCCCAGCCCAGGAAUCGAACCCCGAUCUCCUGCAUUGCAAGCGGAUUCUUUACCAACUGAGCUACAAGGGAAGUCCUAAGCCUUCACCAUACACAACAGAAAAUGGAAUAGGAAUAAGGCACUGGAUUCAGAGUCUUCUAGGAUCCCUUUCAAUUAAUAUAGCCACACCUAAUAAUAUAAUUUUCCUCUGACCAUCAGGCAGGUCUGGUAUCUAAAUAAAAGCUGCUUCUAAACAAUUAAAGUAGAUCCUGUCCUUGUCUCAACUAUUAAUACUUUCUAAGGGUUAACAUGUGGAAUCUACAGCCUCUUAUGCUUUUCAUAAUCUUUUUGCAAAAGUUUAAAAGGAUUUGUAGGAACUACUGUCUUGCAAAAGAACAUAUAACAAAAGUUUAGUAAUUUCAUCAUUUUACUUCAGCUUCAAUUUCUUUUGUUAAAUUAAAUAACAGUGUAUGUGUAGUAUGUAUUAUAUGAGCCUUUUUUGUAAAUGUGUCCCUAUUUAUAUAUAUUCAAAAGGAGACUUUGUAGAAUAAUGCUAAUAAUGGUUAUUUCUAGUAAUGGAAUUUUGGAAUUUUACUUUGUACUUUUCCCUGUUGCUUGAUUUUUUUUUUAAAGAAGCAUGCAUCACCUUUACAAAAUCAAUAAAGUCUCCCAAAAAGAAAAUUACAGUUGUUAUGCAUCCAAACACACCAUGCAACAAGACAGUUGGAGAAGCCUAGAUCAUUGCCAGAGUUUUAAGACUAGCCACCUAAGUUUCUUCAAAUUUUAUUUCAUUUAAAAUGUGUCUCAUGUAAGAGUAAAAUAAAUAACAAAUGAGAGUAUAAGAAAGAAGAAAUGAGGACUAAUGAUAAAUGUAUAAACAUUUGAGCAUCACAUGAAUAGAAAGAUAGAGUCUAAAGUUUUAUUUUCAGAAAUUAUACGUCAGAUUCAGUUCAGUUCAGUCAGUCAUGUCCGACUCUUUGUGACCCCAUGGACUGCAGCACGC